CCCCCUCUUACGUCACAUGGGGCGAAGCUAGGUUAAGCUCAGCUAAGCUAAGCUAAGGGUGAAAAAUUUGCCCGUAUGAUGGGGCUGGACCGGGGGACAGAGCCACUGCUUGCCGACAGACGACUGCUGAGCUAUGGCAAGCUCUGCAGAAGAGAGCCAGCUGAGGAGCAGAGCCACUGCUUGCUGAAAUAUGGCUGCUGAGCCCUGGUGAGCUCUGCAGGAGAAAGCCAGCCAAGGGGCAGAGCUGAAGAGAUCUAUGUCGCUGCUGCUGCAGCUGCAACUGCAGCUGCUUCCUUGUCUUCUGGAGGAAUAAACAUCUGAUUCUGCUCUGAUCUGGAGCAGUUUACCGGCGGGAGGACUUUGUUUUUUGUUUUUUAAACUUCUGGGAUUAAAUGCAUUUAUCUUCAAACUGGAUUCUCAGCCUAGCCGGAGCUAACACUGGAGUCACACAGCACUACAGUUGCUGUCGUCAAUAAUAAACAUUUUAAAUGCUGGAGGAAGAGCAAGCAGAUGUUGGGGAACUGUGUUCCAGUAGGAUCGUGGAGGUGUGACAGUGAGGUGUAUCAAGAAGAUGGCAGUGGGCAAUGGACCAAGAGAUCUCUUGAGUGGAGCUCUCGCUGCUGCAAAAGUCCACUGGGUGAUGCAAAACGUAUCAUCUGGCAAACUUUGGAGAUCUGCCUUUCUUUUCUGCGUUUCCUCAUUUUCUGGAGUGGUGUCUUCAAGGUCUGUCAAAGUUUUUCACCCCUUCAUCCACAAUUGUUUGCCAAACCAAGCUGAAAUGAAGAUGGCAGACUGAGAGGUUUUUUGACUAUCCACCGGCACAGAUGUGCUCUGGCAGCAUCCUGGCUUGUGUGCAGCUCUCAGCCUGUCUGCUGGGAAACCCAUUUCCGUAAACAAACCAUCAGUAGUGGAUUGGACAGGACUGUGUGCAAUGCAUUCUGUUUGUUACGGGAUUCCCCCUUAAGAGCGAUAUGGGGAAUCUUCAGCCUUUUUACCAAUUUAAAAAAUAAUUACACAUUUCUACUACAUAGGUGACCUAGUUUUAAGAAAUCAUCAUAUUCAUGGUGGUGAAGUUUCCCUUUAAGUAUUCUGUGACAGUAUAUUAUGUAGGCAUAUGCAUUUUGUGCAUGAUCUACCGUGGGUUUCAGCACUGAAGUGAUGAUUGUAUUGUGCUACAUGUCCAGUGCCAAUAUCUGUCCCAGUUUGGCUUGUAAAUUGUUUGGUGUAUUUGCAAAUUGCAUAUCUAGUUCUUUGAUUUCAAGCCCAGUGAUUUGAUGUAUGUACAGUAUGCAAUAAUGGAAUUGGGUCAUCCCUGUCAUGAGUACUGGUUACUGUAGUGUAGUGUAGUGUGUAAUAUCUCAGAUCUGUUUUGUGUUUUAUAUUUGAAUUUACCUGAUGUUUAGUCUCUAUCCUCAAGAGACCUGGCAUGAUGCGUUGCCGUUGGCUGCACCCCAGCUCUCAAUUUAGGAACAACAGUGCCUCCUAGGGUAACAAAUGGCAGUGCAUAAUCUCUGUUGUCCUCUUCCCCCUCCCUCUCUACCUCUGUUUCAUUGUUUCUGUUUUUUUGGGGUAGAGCCUUCAGGCAUUCUGGGCAAGACAUGAUGCAGCUCAGUUUUUGCAAACAUGUAGGAGGCUUUCAAACAACUGUUGCUUUUCAUAGUUGCAAUCAGUAAAGAUAGCAUGUGGAAUGCUGUUACAGUGUUGGAAGGCAAAGAAAAAAAACACAGAAAGGAGCUUUUGAGUAAGGAUGGGGCAGGGAGAGAAAAGCAUUCAUCAAAGAAAGUAAGAGCUUCUUUUUUUUCUGCUUUGCUAAGAGUUUUUGUUGGAAACACAAAUAAACACAGGCUGGCAUGUUAAUCAUCUUUGAACAAUGAAGGUGUUUGAUAGUGAAGCAGUGUAAGCACAAUAAUUAUGUCUCAACAUAUACUGUAUGUUUAACUCCUUACAGGGCAAGGUUUAUGCCGCAGUAACUUGACAACUUUUCCAGUUUUCUAAGCUUUUUAAUAAAAUUGGUAUUUUAAUGCAACAGUCCGACUAAAAGUUAUUGUUCAACCAUAUCACAAGUAUCCUUGUUACUUAAAACCCAAAGAUGCCCUUCUGCUUGGGUU